GUCUACGGAUACCCAAGGAUAUCGAUCCGAUAUAAAACUGGAUACUUUUUUUCCGCUUGGCGAGUGAAAGGGACGAGCAAUCGAUAAUUGACGUCUAUCAACGACGGAGCCGGCUAAUUCGAUCGACGCUUCCAGAAAAUUGAGAGACACUGUUUACGGUUAUUGGGUUACAGUUUCACGCUCACGGUGGUCUGUCACCUUUCCGUGCAACCUUCGCGAACAAGCUCGAAUACGUCUUCGAUGAUCGACAUAGAAAAUUAAUUCUCGCCGUCGAUAUUUCGGCCCGCGAAUUUCUUAUACCACGGACAUAGGUACGUGACGUUUCGAAUUUUUACCACCACCGAAUCGUAGUCAGUUUCACUCGAUCGAACGAACUCGAAAAUCGAGAGAAAAGGUCCGUUCAACAGGCACCGAGCUUGAACAAGCCGACAAAUGAAAAAGAGAAAAGGGAACGUGCGAAAUUUGGCGCCCGAUAGCGCCACGACGCUGCAUUCUCAAGGAAAAUAAACCGUUCGCCGUCUGACUAUUUGAUUUAUGAGUGCGGGCGACAACCUACCGCACGGCAUACCGAAAUAGAUCAAGAGGAGAACCAUUGCGGUGUGUACAGCCGAGGUAAAUCUGACGCGGGAACAACCACUGCACCUUAUUUCGUACAGGUCGCUCUAUAAAUCUCCCCAUACAACCGCAACGAUAUCUUUUUUCAUCGAAAUGUUAGUUAGGAGCAAAUUAUGCUGUCGUUGUGGAAUGAAAGACAAUAUUUAUUGUAUAUAAUCGAGAAAAAAUACAUUCGAGAAUGUUUGCAGUUUAACGUUUGCAGUAGUCGAAGCAAUUGGAGAAAUUAUAUAAGUUCAGGUGUAACAUGCAUUUCAAUAUGCUUAGACUGAUAACGAUAACAAACGAUAACGGCAACGAACGUAUGAUUUGUAUCGCUUCACCUUAGGACCAUAAUUACUUUAAAAGAUGCAGAAAAAUGAUUUUACUUUAAAUUUUUAUAUUUUCAACGAAUUUUUUUUUAUUUCGGCUCAAAUUAUUCGACACCCUGUAGGCAGGGUGUUUGUCAGACAUCGGUUUAUACGUCUUGUUUAGUAGCAUAACGGGAGCGGAAGAGAGAGACAGUGGAGGGAGGACAUAAGGUUCACACGAUCGAUGCAGGAAUCGUUUCACGAUGCAAAGUGUUUUCUCGGGGCUCGUCGAACGAUUACACUUCGACAAAAAUGCUUAGAAAGUAGUGGACUUUCUCCUUCUACCGGAAAUUAUCAUGCCAUCAUCGGUACCUAUCACGAUUUACAACCAUCUGGGUAAACAACACAUACUCAGCAAACCGUCACUUCUGUUAGGAUACUGCGAGCAUUAACAUUAUUCCUGACUCAAAAAAUAUUUGAUUAGACCUACCUUCAAACUUUAACUCUAGUAUCAACAAUGGUAUGCCUAUUCUCAUUUGCAGGUGUUUCCUAUUGAGGAAAUGAGUCAAGUAAAUAUUGAGUUGAUUGAAAUAUCUACUAGUCCUACUUAAACAACCUUAAAGAUACAUCUCUUUCUUUUUUCUAACGAAACUAUCGCCCCUUAUAAGAAAUGUUGCUAGAACAACUGCUGGUAACGAUUGUGUUAUCGGAAUUUAACCUUCCUUGUUGCAUCUGAGUACCGAUCACCGUGCCUGUUCUAUGUGCAAUAUGUAUCUUCUAGCAUUAAUAAAUCCUCGAGAUUUUUUGCACAGCACGAAUUAAUUCGUGGGGCGAGUUUGCAUGCCCAUGAUGGAAGUCGGCAAGGGAAGGAGGGAGAAUGUUGAAAAACGUGGUAAAAGUACUCGACAUGUGACGAACAGACCGUGAAGGAAGGCAAGGUAUACGUAUACACCGUGGCACGACCGAUAUACGGGGUGUCAGAUAAAUACUGAUAAAAUCGGUGUCUCCAAGGGGGAUGAAGGAUAUUACGAUCCCUCCUACAAGGGAAUCAAUUAAUCGUUCGCGACAGUUGGGGUAGCAGGAAGCACACGGACCCGGCGUCGGUCCGAAUAGACGGAAAUCUAGGCAUGACUUUGGCGAUCGAUAAAUGAAUUCCACGAGCCUGGUGUCUCAUCCGUCUUUCUCUUAUCUUCUUCGUACCGUGACUGUUGCUACUUCCGUUCCAGGCACACGCUGUUCCGCGAAACGACCGCGAGAAGACGAGAAUUGGAGGAACGACACCCUGAAAGGAUAACGAAAGCAUACGACAGGGUAUAGCAGUAAUGGAAUUGCCAACGUGAUGCAACCGCCAGUGAACGUGAUACCUUUGUAAGGAGAAGAAAAAGCAAUGCGACCGGGUUUACAAAACAGCCUCGCACUACCGGCUGGAACUUACAACCCUAAAUCGCUUUACCCGUGGAUUUGUGAAAUCAGAAACUCUUACGAUUGCUGAUCAAUUUCGACUCACCGAGGGGCCGAGGUGGGGUUUGCAUGUCGAAAUCAAAUUAAUCGGGGCCCAUUCGUUGGGAUGCGGGGAGUGUCUUAGAAUUCUCCAUCGCAAAGAGUUUUCGAGAUAUCGAGUAUUGCCAGUUCAGAACGACUCUGUGGAAGGGCCAAUGUAUUCCUGUUGGCUUCUUUUUUUUUUAAUUAUCGGACCGUAGGUGAUCAAUCAGUUCCACUAGGUGAACCGACGCGAGUUCUUCUGGAGGAAAAAUUGGCGAGCUGCGAGUCGGUAGUGCCGUAUCCCAGACAAAGCUAACUGGUUUAUUUGAGGAAGGCACCCUUUUAAGACCCCUUUCAUUGUUUGAACGCUUCACCACCACGAUGAGCAGGAAAUGGAUCUUUAUAUCUAACUAGACGUGCGUAUAUGUAAUAAUGAAAAGUAAAUAAAAAGGAUAAUAAGGGGAACAGAACAAUGCUUGUACGGGAAGAGCAUUGCGAGCAUCCUUAAUUUCUACAAACAUCGUUCUACCAGGUAUAUUUACAAAACACUAAGUAAGCGAAAUGGUAAAAUAAACAAAAUACAUAGUUGUAAUACCGUAUUGUGUUUGAGUAGAUCGAACAAGUUUUCAAAAGUUUUUAUUAUUCAGAAAUAGAAUAAUUAUUUCAUCAGAGAGAAAUCUCAAAUAUUUUUAUAAAAUUAUUUAUUCUUUCAAAUCUACGAAGCCCCUUUAAGUAAUGACGCCGGACGUUUAGUAGAUGCAUUUUCUAUCAUGAUAAAAUCGCAAGGAGAGGCUUGCCGCGUUGUUGGAAUACUUUACUCGAGUGUUUGACGUAAAUGCUUCUAGCGGUGCAACUUCUUUAAUGGUGUACUCUCAUUUCGAGGAACGAAAUGAUCACCUUCUAAAACCGUCGUUUGGAUUUAUAAAUUUUUCAGAAUUAAUAACCGGCAAGCACUUCUAGCAGUAUUUCCAACACGAAAAAAUUUAAUGGAAAGUACCCAUUUCGUAAUUAAAAGAGCCUGUUAAGUAGAACCGACCCGGUUAAUAAAACAAUGAAAUUAAGUGGAUCGUUUUGUUUGUUACCGAGAACAGAUUAUAAAGUCGACUAUACUUAAUCAAAAA